rnacentral:rRNA from 1 species
AGCAGGCGCGCAAAUUACCCAAUCCCGACACGGGGAGGUAGUGACAAUAAAUAACAAUACGGGGCUCUUUCGGGUCUCGUAAUUGGAAUGAGUACAAUUUAAAUCCCUUAACGAGGAACAAUUGGAGGGCAAGUCUGGUGCCAGCGGCCGCGGUAAUUCCAGCUCCAAUAGCGUAUAUUAAAGUUGUUGCAGUUAAAAAGCUCGUAGUUGAAUUUCGGGAUUGACACAUCGGUCGUGCCUUAAGGGGUAUGAACUGGUGUAGUCAAUUUCUCACCUUCUGGAGAACCGCGAUGCCCUUAAUUGGGUGUCACGGGGAACCAGGACCUUUACUUUGAAAAAAUUAGAGUGUUUAAAGCAGGCAUUUUGCUUGAAUACAUUAGCAUGGAAUAAUAAAAUAGGACGGCAUGAUUCUAUUUUGUUGGUUUCUAGGAUCACCGUAAUGAUUAAUAGGGAUAGUUGGGGGCAUUAGUAUUCAAUUGUCAGAGGUGAAAUUCUUGGAUUUAUUGAAGACUAACUACUGCGAAAGCAUUUGCCAAGGAUGUUUUCAUUAAUCAAGAACGAAAGUUAGGGGAUCGAAGACGAUCAGAUACCGUCGUANUNUUAACCAUAAACUAUGCCGACUAGGAAUCAGACGAUGUUAAUUUUUUAAUGACUCGUUUGGCACCUUACGGGAAACCAAAGUGUUUGGGU